rnacentral:rRNA from 1 species
UACGGAGGGGGCUAGCGUUGUUCGGAAUUACUGGGCGUAAAGCGCACGUAGGCGGCUUUGUAAGUUAGAGGUGAAAGCCCGGGGCUCAACUCCGGAAUUGCCUUUAAGACUGCAUCGCUAGAAUUGUGGAGAGGUAAGUGGAAUUCCGAGUGUAGAGGUGAAAUUCGUAGAUAUUCGGAAGAACACCAGUGGCGAAGGCGACUUACUGGACACAUAUUGACGCUGAGGU